rnacentral:misc_RNA from 1 species
AUUAGAGAUGAAACAAAAACAGAUGAGCCACUUCCAGAUGUUAAUCAAGUAUCUUCAUCAACUGACUCAGCUGGAAAAGAAAUGACAAUGAGCAAAGAAAAAACUUUGCAAGAUGCUGUUAAGCCUAAAAACAAGCGGAAAAAGAAGAAAUCGUCUAAUACUGCCGCAGUUUAGAGAAUGCAUGUGUGAUCUAUCUUCUUUAGAUUGAAAUUACUCUGCACGGUAAUAGUAAAUUCUGUGACUCGUUGCACAGUUGGAGAGGCCUCAUGAAUUUCCAGAUGCAAGCAGUUGUAUCAUUGUUUCUCAAAUUGAAGGACAUGAAUUGAAACCAUUGCCAUCGAUGUUCAGUGUGAAUGGAUAUGAUUAAAGAAUGCCACAUUUGGUAUUGGUUACCUAGCUUGAGUUCCAAUCACUUGAUCCCGCCGCAGAACUAGUGGCAUUCUGAAAUCUUGAUUUGAACUUCUUUCAUGGACUUGAACUCGGGACUCAGAGGAAGACGAAAUGCUUUGUUCUCAAGAGUUUUCACUUUUUUCUGAGCGUUUGAUGUUUUCUUUGUCCUUGUAGAGGAUUUCUAUAUGUAGAGUUAUAGAGAAAAAGACAAUCACAUUGUAGACGCUCUUCUGCUAGACUUGACUGACCAACUAUUUAUGUGAUAAGG